UCCUUUUAUUGGCCAAUUCGUGGGAGGAAAGGUAGCUAUGGAAAUAUACAAAAACAAUUUCUUCUUCUCUUAAUUCUUUAUUCUACCUCUCUUUCUUGCUUUCAUCUUUCUUCUUCCUGGAAUUUUUCCUUCAAACCUUCAUUCCUCACCAAAGGUAUCAAAGCUAAACGAUUCUCAUGGCGAAUGACAGAGUCACGACACAAUUGCAAAAGGAAUUGGGGUUUCUAUAACAUAAGCUUUCCCAGCUUGACAACAAGCUCGAUACUAAACUAGAAAUGAAGUUGGACUCUUGUUUCAAGGAAUUUCGUGAGGAUUUUAAAGGGGAAAUACAAUGGGAAAUUAGAGCUGAGAUGCACUCAAUUUUUGAGCAGUAUUUUGGACUACCUUCAACCAUUAUUCAUGGAGGGGUCUCGAAUAGAGGUAAGGGACUUCUGGGAGCACCGCCACCAGGAUUUCCACCCAAGGAUAGCCUAGUUAUGUCACCAGUUAUAGAUCUCGAACACACGGGUACUUACUCUCGAGCAAGCUUAGGAGAUCUUUUGGGAAGAGGGUUCCAACUUACUUGCCCUUGAUUUGAUGGAACGAACUUUCAGGGAUGGUCCAAGCUGAAGCAGUUUUUCGAAGCUGAAAACGUGGAAGAUUCAGCUAAGGUUCGAAUCAUGAUGUUGCAUCUGUAGGGAAGGGCCCUGGAGUGGCGCCAUUUCUUUUUUCAACAAUACGGUGGCAUUCGACAAUUGACUUAGGAGGCGUAUGCGCGAGCCUUGCAGGAGAGAUUCGUAUCCCGUAGGUACUUGGAGACCCAAUGACUAAGUUGGUGGCUCUUAAACAAACAAGUAUGACCGACUAAUAUUAUGACCAGUUUGUGAGCCUUUUGAAUCAAUUAAGUUUACUUGGAAUUUAUGCCUUGAUCAUUUUUAUGAAUAAUCUCAAACCCGAUAUUGGUCAGUAUUUGCGAUUAUUCAAGCUAACCACCUUGAUAGAAGCUUUCACUAGUGCUAUUGAAGUGGAGGAUAUAGUCGGCAUUGUUACUAAGAAAAAUACUCCUAUAGGAGGGAACUUUAGCUCCCCUAAGCCUUUAUUGCCUCUAGUUAAAGGAUACAACUCUCACACUAUACCAGGAGUUCAUUCUUCCAACAAUUCUCAUGCAAAAACUCCAGUUAAAGCUUUUUCAUAGGUUGAGAUGGAAGACAGAAGAAAAAAGGGACUAUGUUUUUUGUAUCCCUCCAAAUACACACCAGGGCAUAAAUGUGCCAAGUCUCAAAUCUAUCAAUUGGUGAUUGAAGCCUUGGUUGAGCUGGAUAAUGAACUUAAGAGCCUUACUUCUAAUGAGUUUCAAGAUUUCCCCGAGAAGUUAGAAGUGACUGAAGUUGAAGUUGAGUUAGUAGCUUCUGUUCUGUCUUUGCAUGCCCUUAAUGGUUCUCAGGGUCACAACACAACGCGAUUAUUAGCUCGAAUUGGUCCAUGUGAGACCAUUAUUUUGGUAGAUUCGGGCAGUACUCACAAUUUUAUGGACUGCAAACUGGUGAAGCAACUACAUCUACAUGUGGAUCCUUCUUGUAAGCUUAAAGUGAUGGUUGCUAAUGAUGUGCAAUUAGCUACUCAGGGUGUCAGUUGUCUGGUGAAAUGUGAGGCGUAAGGGUGUCAAAUCUCCACUGAUUUUAUGGUGCUUCCAGUAAAAGGUUGUGAUUUAGUUCUUGGUGUCUAAUGGCUUCACUCAUUGGGGUUAAUUAUCUGGAAUUUCUUUUUUCUUACAAUGUAGGUUGAGUAUUUAGGGACGUCUUGUACUUUCCAAAGUAUUCUUCCUGAGGGUCUACAUGUUUUUUCUGGUGCUCAAAUUUCUAAAUACUUCAAUGUGAUGGGACAGGGCCUCACUCUCAUGUUGUUGACUAGUUCUAUCCAAACUACUCUGACCUUACCAUCACAGACUAUGCACAAAGAUAUUGAAUUGCUCUUAAAUAAAUUUGAGGAUGUGUUCUAACUUCCUAAAGGCGUUCCUCUUGUCAGAUUUCAGGACUAUAAGAUACCCGUUCAAGAUGAGACUCAGGUGGUCAAGGUCCAUCCAUAUAGGUGAAACUUUUGAGAUGAUCAUUCCUGUAACAACCUAGUUCCUGUUAGUAAUUGUGGAUUCUUUAAGGGUACUGAAAUUGCUAUUGUGGUGUUGGCAUCGAACAAUGGUCAGGUGUGUAAUGAAAAUCUUAAAAAAUAGUGAACGACGCAAAGCCAAAAAGUGGACCGUCGAUGCCACAUGACCGUGUGGUAGGCUGUGUGCCAGACCAUGUGGUUCACACAGUCAAGGUCAAUUAGGUUGAGUGGGCCACACGGAUGUGUGUGCCCAUUUUCUGAAAAUUUUCAUUUAGGCCUGAUUUGAUCUGUGAAUUGUAAUUAGUCUAUCCGUAGGGUCCAUACCGCUUAAAUAAGACUUGAAAACAAGGUAUUUGUGAAUAUACUUUUGUAUGAGAUGUGUGUAAGGUGUGUGACUUAUACAUGUAGGAUUCGUAGGGUCCAUUCUUUUAUUUUAUGUUAUUGUACGUUAGCAUGUCCUACAUGCUUAUCAUUCUAACUAUGUAUAUGCAUGCCAUGACAUGUUGCAUGAGAUUUGGGAUGAUGUUGAAAGGAGGAAGAUUCUGACAGUUUAAUGA